GCCACCUGGGACUUGAAGUUCUACCAGUGUGGCUCCAAAGCUGCCCAACUAGAAACCCCAAAAGGCAAGAGAACUACGAUACCCACAAUUCAGGCUCCUCACCCGAAACCAGAAGAGGGCGUAUGGCUAGAGUUUCACCCUAAGAAGAAAGGGGAAGCAGGUGGAAAAGCAAUUAAAAAAAAAUCAGCAUCUCUCUCUAGCCUAUUAUCUCCUGUUAGACACAGCCCAGAAAAUGAAUAG
rnacentral:lncRNA from 1 species